AGAAUCUGCAUGUCCUGGCGCAGCCGACCACCCCUUGUGGGAUGGGAAGAUCCUGGUGUUUGUGUCGAGGAGGGUCGAGAAGGGACAUCUUGGUGGUCGAGGGGAGGAUGAAGGUCUGAGAUGAGAGUUCAAGAAAUGUCCUUGACGCAUGCGCGACAAGGUCUUACAGGGUUGGUACAGUAUGGGGGGACCUUCACUGAGAUUUGUAAUCCUCCUCUUAAAUCUGGUUCUUAACCUUUUUUACUCCCAUUGUCCAACAAAGUCACCCCAUGAUGACAUCAUUUCCUCUGGCGUUUCUACUCACCCAGCAGAAGAGAUGGAGGCAGCUGUUGGAGCGGGUGGAGUGUGCAAACGUCUCAGUCCCCAGAUGAAUCACAACCUCUUUCUCACUCCACUUUCUAUCCAGUCAUUCUCUCUCAUCCGGCAUUUGUCUGUGUGUCUGAUCCCCCUUCCCCCUCCCGCUGAUUCCAGUCUAUUUAUAUGAACUAUUUUCAAGAGACACUUUUCCCCAAUUUCCUCCUUGCGUCUGUUUUCUCCUCAGCUCCAGACUGGUGAGGAAUUACUUUGUCAAUCCCUGUGAAGCAAAGCUUUCCCAGCAGGCUUUGCGCUAAGGCCGAUAGAUUUUGGAAAGUUUUGGAAGGGAGAGUGAGUGCUGCGUGUUCCACCCAGUCAUCUCCAAAUUAAUCAUUCACAUCAAUGGGAUUCGUCCAGUGGCUUUUGUUUGCUGAGCAUCAAAGCCUGGUCACGUUCGUCUAUUGCUAAAAAUAUGUUGACAAACCGGCAGGACAGAAAGUGAAUAAACUGUCAUGUUUUAUAAGGACAGAUUAUUAACCACAAUUCAAAGCCAGUUCAAUCUCUUUUUCCUGAAUAAAAAGACAUGCGUCUGGUGAGUAUUA